rnacentral:snRNA from 1 species
GCGCUCCUUCAGCAGCACAUAUACUAAAAUUGGAAUGAGAAAACUAGCGUGGUCCCUGCAUAAGCAUGACAAAUUCGUGAAGCGUUAACUUUUUUU